rnacentral:rRNA from 1 species
GACAGCCAGGAUGUUGGCUUAGAAGCAGCCAUCAUUUAAAGAAAGCGUAAUAGCUCACUGGUCGAGUCGGCCUGCGCGGAAGAUGUAACGGGGCUAAACCAUGCACCGAAGCUGCGGCAGCGACGCUGAUGCGUUGUUGGGUAGGGGAGCGUUCUGUAAGCCUGCGAAGGUGUGCUGUGAGGCAUGCUGGAGGUAUCAGAAGUGCGAAUGCUGACAUAAGUAACGAUAAAGCGGGUGAAAAGCCCGCUCGCCGGAAGACCAAGGGUUCCUGUCCAACGUUAAUCGGGGCAGGGUGAGUCGACCCCUAAGGCGAGGCCGAAAGGCGUAGUCGAUGGGAAACAGGUUAAUAUUCCUGUACUUGGUGUUACUGCGAAGGGGGGACGGAGAAGGCUAUGUUGGCCGGGCGACGGUUGUCCCGGUUUAAGCGUGUAGGCUGGUUUUCCAGGCAAAUCCGGAAAAUCAAGGCUGAGGCGUGAUGACGAGGCACUACGGUGCUGAAGCAACAAAUGCCCUGCUUCCAGGAAAAGCCUCUAAGCAUCAGGUAACAUCAAAUCGUACCCCAAACCGACACAGGUGGUCAGGUAGAGA